rnacentral:rRNA from 1 species
UACGGAGGGUGCAAGCGUUAUCCGGAUUCACUGGGUUUAAAGGGUGCGUAGGUGGAUUGGUAAGUCAGUGGUGAAAUCUCCGGGCUUAACUCGGAACGGUCAAGUGAUACUGUCGUGCUAGAGUACAGAAGGGGCAACUGGAAUUCUCGGUGUAGCGGUGAAAUGCGUAGAUAUCGAGAGGAACACCUGCGGCGAAGGCGGGUUGCUGGGCUGAUACUGACGCUGAGGCGCGAAAGCCAGGGGAGCAAACGGG